AACGAACGCUGGCGGCAGGCUUAACACAUGCAAGUCGAGCGCCCCGCAAGGGGAGCGGCAGACGGGUGAGUAUCGCGUGGGAAUCUACCUUUUGCUACGGAAAACCUAAGGGAAACUUGUGCUCAUACCGUAUGUGCCCUUCGGGGGAAAGAUUUAUCGGCAAAGGAUGGGCCCGCGUUGGAUUAGGUAGUUGGGGGGGUAAUGGCCUACCAAGCCGACGAUCCAUGGCUGGUCUGAGAGGAUGAACAGCACCAUUGGGACUGGGACACGGCCCAAACUCCUACGGGAGGCAACAGUGGGGAAUAUUGGGCAAUGGGCGCAAGCCUGAUCCAGCCAUUCCGCGUGAGUGAUGAAGGCCCUAGGGUUGUAAAGCUCUUUCACCGGUGAAGAUAACGACGGUAACCGGAGAAGAAGCCCCGGCUAACUUCGUGCCAGCCGCCGCCGUAA
rnacentral:rRNA from 1 species